rnacentral:lncRNA from 1 species
CUCUGGGGAGCCGGGCUCUGGGCACUGGCGAAGGUGUACCGGGGGCGGCGGCCGAGCGGCCAAGGACACCUGCAGGCUUCCCGGGCCGCGCGGAGAGGGAGCCUCAGCGCAACGCCCCGGCGCCUGGUUCCUGCGAUCUGGCGGCGCUGGGAGCCACGCCAUCUACGCGUCUGCCCAUCUCCGGGCGGGGCGCCGGCCUUGGCUCGCGCGCGGCAGGGGGCGGGCGCGAGGUGGCAUAGGGGAGGGGGCGCCUCGGCGCCGGUGGGCUGGGGCCCUAGGGGCUCAUGGUCUCCCUCCGGCGCUGGCAGCGGCCGCCACGCCCCAGUGGCGCCUUUUCCUCCGGGGCCCCGCCUCGCCCAGACGCGCCCUUCGCGGGGCGGGGUGGGCGGGGCGCGGCGCAGCGCGGGGCCGAUCCGACUCACUGCAGGCCCUGGCGACCGAGCGCAGUCUUCCUCCCCGGAGCCGAGCCCCAACCAAGCGCGUCACCUCCUCGCCGCCAGUGCCCAGCCCAGCGCGCCGCCCCUGCGCGCUUCCGCCGGCAACCCCUCCCGCCCCCCUCAGCCCUGCUCCGCGCCUCCCCCGGGCCCGCAGCUCCUCCCACCGCAGCCCGCUGACACCGAAGCGCUCUCGACCCCUGACCUCUAACCUCCGCCCGGCUCUUCUUGCUUCGUCCCUCGCCCCCUCCCCGCCAAGCUGGUCGCACUGUUGCCGUUUCACUGCGGCUGACGGAAGGCCAAGGAAGAAAGAGGGUAGAGACGCUGUCGCGAGGAUCAGGCUGCCCUCUCCUUUCCCAGGGACCGUGUUGGGGCCUUCUGACCACCCCGCCCCGCAUCCUGCGCCUCGGAGGCCCAACGUAGCCCAAGACACCCAUGGUCUUGAUGCUCUCCGCCUCUGUCCCAGCCACCAAAGUCCCCGCGAUGGAAUGGAGGACGGGGUGGCCUUGGGCAGAGAAGCGCUUCUUGUGCCGGAUGGAAGGAAACCGUAGCUCUGGCUGUGUUCAUCGCGAAAUGUUUUAUGGAUGUGGAGUGGGUGGGUGGCCCUGAAAAGUCAUUAGUUAAAGCCUUUGCUCGUCAUUGCUCUGGGGUCCACAUAGGAAAUGCCCGUGUCCUGCCUCAUGACCCCUUCCUGUUUCUACUCUUAUUCUACCCAUUACAAUUUGACUUUGCCUGUGUAUAUGUCUCCUCUCCCCUCCCUAACCCUGAGCUUCAGGCAGCCUCCAUGCCUGUCUGGAUGAUGUAAAGAGAUCUUGAGGCAGAAAUGAAAGAGUUUAGCUGUCUUUGAGUUUGCUGCAGUGAAAAGAAAUAUCCCAAGUGUGACUGGGAAGAGAAGACCCGGGACAGGCCAGAAACUGGAGUGAGGAAGAAAGAACCACAGAAUAUUAAUGUAAUGAAUAACUUUCAAGUCCUAUCUGGUCCGUGUCCUGGCAAAGUCCCUUGGGGUCUCUCCCCUGCUUUCCGUUCAUCAGGAUGACUGAGCUCAGUAAUUGUAACAAAGGGAGUGUAGUAGGCAAGGGGACAAAACCCAUAGUAUCCCACCCCUGAUUGACUUAUUAACUCAAUGAACACUUAUUGAAUACCUACGAUAUGCCAGAAGCAGUUCCGGGUACUGGAAAUACAUCAGUGAAUAAAACAGCCACUCAUCCUAGUAAAUCUGCCCAACUGGUGCUUCCACUCUGCGGUGCUUGUGGAUAGUGA